CACCUCUCUUCCACGGAGUAGUACACCACACAACUCAAGUAGGUAUAUAAGGGCCAGACAAGCACAAACUUGUUGCCCGUACAAACCACUGACCCCCCAGGCAUCAUCGCACAGGCACACGAGUGCGACCGUGCAAGAGAGACCGACACGUCGCCACCCCACCACCCUCACCUCAGCACGCCGGGCCUCUCCGACGCAUACAAACACGCACGCACGCCUAUUCUCCUUCUAUAUCGCUGUGCUGUGUUUUGUUUUGGAAACCAGCUCGCCGUGCGUGUCCAUCGUACCUCUGCUUGCGACCGGUGCCUCAGCGUGUGCGCGUGUGGGUGGGUGGGUGGGGGUGUGCGUGCAUCGAGUGCUAUUAUCCGUUCUGGUCCUCCUCCUCCCCCCCCUCUCGCAUCGGCACCACGCCCGCCGCAUUUUUGCUCUUCGCCUUCUUCUCUUGUAUGUCUUGGCUUAAGUUUGCCCCACGCCUCCUCCUCGCUGCGUGACAUCACCUGCACACCCCAUACAACACCCCACCGCCCCUCAGCGCAUCCUCUGGAGAGGACGCAGCUGCUUGCUCUCACCUGCCCUCCUCUCUACUCCUUCUUGCCUGUAUCGCCCGCUUCCUUUCCUUAGGAGGGGCGCACGCACGUGUGUUUUAUCGCUACGCACCGCCUGCACGGGCACGCAAGUCCUCGCGCCUCGAGUGUGCUCGCCUCUCGCCUCUGGGUAGGACGUAAGAGGAAGAUACGGCCACGGCGGCGAACACCAGCUGAGACGGCCGCUGGUGAGCGAGCCAUCCACCUCGUGCGUUAUCACGACACCAUCCGCAGGGAGAGGGGGAGGCGGCCUUGCCAGCCCAGCACAGAUAGCAGAAGGCACAGAACAAGACGUCAGCUCGUGUCAUCUCGGCGACAUGAUGCUGCAGCGCAUGAAGGGCAUGUGGGACCAGCAGGUCGGGCUUGACGAGUACCUGCCCGGUACCCCGAACCCGGAGCGCUGGCACUACCACAACCCCGCAGAUGACUUCCCUUACGACAUCAUGGGCCGCGGCAACUUCGCAGCGGCGGCGGAGCAGCAUCGCGCUCGCACAGCAGCGGAGCGACUCUUUCGGGAACACGACGCCGUGCGUCGCCGCCAGUUCCCGUCGUGCUUCGAGGAGGCCUGCGCCUACGGCAACCUGCAGGCCGUUAUAUUGAUGUGGGCGCAGGGCACCGUCGACAUCCCCACACGGCGGGCGGUGUACGAAGGCAACAACGCCUCCUCACUCAUGUGGGCCGCCUUCAAGGGGCACCUGUCCAUUGUGCGGUUCCUCGUCGACCACGACGCGCCGCUCGAGGCGGUCAACGGGCUCGGCCACACAGCACUGCAGUGGGCCAUUACCGGCGGACACACGGACGUUGUUCGUUACCUUCUCGACCACGGCGCCGACCCGAGCCACCGUGAUCGGCAGGGCUUCGACGCCUCCUUCGCGGCCGUGCAGAGCGGCCACCUUGCUCUGCUGCUCAUGCUCACCGAGGACGCGGCGCGCGAAGGCCGCCUCCUGCAGACCAGCGAUCACGGCCUCGUCUUCUACAAGCCGUCCUUGGAGCCGCAGGCGCAGGCCGCCACGCGUGAGAACCCGCGCACAAAAAAGCCAUACUACCUGCUGAACCCGCAGCAGCGUGAUGUGGAGGGGCACACGCUCAUGCACUGGGCCGCCUACCGCAACUCUCCUGCGACGUGUCAAUACCUGCUAGACCAUUGGGGCUACGACGUGGAUGCGCAGGACAGCCAUGGUCGCACGCCGCUGGUAUGGGCCGCGCGCGAGGGCUUCUCUGAGGUGAUGGAGUUGCUUCUCAGCCGCGGUGCCGACCGGCACAUCACGGACAGCGACGGUUGGACGGCGCUGCAGCACGCCCGCGUCCGCAAUCAUCCGGAGGCAGUCUAUGUGCUGGAGUCGUACCCCGUGUCGAGCCUGACAGCUGCCACGGCGGCGACCACCUCCGAUAACGCGCUUGCUGACCGCGAGCUCAGCGAGAUGGCCGACUCGGUGAAGGUAGCGCUGCUGGAAGCGUCCGCAGAAGCCACCAUCAACACCACUAGCAGAGGUCGGUACGUGUGCGUGCGGGACCGCCGAGCUGCCGGCACACUGCGCAUGAUCCGCACAAACACCACCUUCGCCAUGAUGGCCAUCGCAGGCCCCGUGUACCUCGCCCUCACCUUCCUUCUGAUGAAGGUGCUGCCACCCAUCGCAAGCUACCUUCCGUUUGGCAUGUUCUUCUUCAAGAAUGUCUUGUGGUCCAUGCUGUCGCCGCGGCCGACGCAGACCAGCCGCAGCGGGCCGCCGCCACCGCUGAUCAAGCAAGUCGGUAUGGCGAUGAGCAUCGCGGAGUCGGUGCGCGGCACGUGGCGCUUCCGCCUGCGCGAGCCGAUAAACCUGUUCAUCUGGCUCACCUUCCUGGUCGUCCAGGUGUGGGCGUGGAACAGCCUGGGGCUGGUGCCGCUCUUCUCCCUCUCCGGUCGCGACGCCGCCGCAGCACAGGAGCGCCAGGCGGCGUCGGCAGCAGCGGCAGCGCUGUGGGGCACGAGCGCUACGUCGACUGCCGACGGCACAGAUCGGCAGCCCCUCAUCCACUAUUUUGGUCUUUCUCUCAUCCGCCUCCUCACGUUCCAGUCGAGCCCGCUGGACCAGUUCCAGGCCGACACCGUCGCCGCCACCCCGGCCUUCGUGGCCGCCGAGAAGACGUACAUGGCGCAGUCGAACAACCUCGUGCGCUGGGUGCUCAUGCUGCUCCUGCUCACCUCCGUGACAUGCGCGGUGCUGUGCAAGCUGCUCGCUGGCCGGUCGAUGAUGCGCGCGUCGGAAGAGGGCACGUUGCGCACGUCACCUCUUUGGCGCAUCCUCGCGUCGCGGCAGUACCGCUGGCUACACCCGCGCUUCUUCUCCCAGGAGCGCCACAUGCAGAUCCCGCUGCGUGCCUUCUACUGUCGUGAGCGUGACAUCGUCGUGCGCGGCUACGACGGCUACUCGAGUCUGCUGGACAGCCCGAUCGGACGCUCGAAUCACCUCCUGUUCGUCCUGUCACUGACAUGCUUUGCGCUGUUUGAGCUGCUGGUGAUGACGUGGGGAACGCAGCAGACGCGCGUGCUGCUGCGCUGCCCGGAGCGCGUACCGUGGUAUCGCGACGCCUUCUUCGCCUUCCAGACCACCGAGGCGAUGGCAGCAACCGUUGCCGCCAGAGGGCCAAUGCCGGCGACGACGUGGGACAACACAAGCCUACAGGCGGCGACGCCGUCCAUGCUAGCUGCCGAGGCGCCUGUCUUGAGCUUCGCCUGGCUGAACACGGCGAUGGAAGUGUGGCUGCACGGGCUGCCGUGCCGCCAGUACCGCCUCCUGGACGAAAUCACGAUGAACUAUGUCAAGGCAGCAGCCGCGUCCGCCGCAGCAGCGGCGCACAAGCCGUCUAUCCUUGGCAGCUGCGUGCUCCGCGGAGUCUUUCUUUUCCGCUACUACAUCUGGCCGACGCGUGCCUCGAUGCUUGGGGUGUGGGUGCUGCACUACAGCGCUAUCGCCGCCGUCUUGAUUGGCUGUGUUGCCAUGCGCCAGUGGAUCGGUGUCUGGUGCGGCGCCACUCGCAUGGAGCUGGCAAACCCGCUCGCGCAGGGCAGCGAUGGCGAGCUCGUGUCGAUCUUUCCGAAGGACGCGCAGCAGGCACAGCGGGUGGUGCCCAUCGACGACGACGAAGAGCGCUACUACGCGACCGUGUGUCCGUCCAAGGCGCGCACUAUUACCACCGGCAGAGCGGCAGCGGCGGCGGAGGGCCGCGGCCGCUGUCUGUACGCAGAGGGCAACGGCAUCGUCAACGUUCUCGCCUUCCUGCUGGGCCGGAAUGGGAAGCGCUGGGUGGGUGCCAUGACGGUGUCGUCCCACAACGCCCCGGUGAAGACGCCGAUGCUGUCGUGAGCAGCGCCGGAGACUACAGGUAUACGCGCGUGCAUAGAGGCGGUUGUGUGUCCGUGCGUCCGUCUGUGUCGCAGCAUUCACAGACGCCUCGCGGAUGGCGAUUUCGAUGAUGUGGCUUCUCUCUCUUCCUCGGGUUAGCGGUAGCGCCGAUGCGCCGGGGCCGCCUUUGACACAGAGGGAGGGUGGUGCGGAUCAAGGAGGCGAAGGCGCAUGUGCAUUCACUCCACCAGGAGUGCGUGCGUCGGCUCGCGCGCGCGUGGGGAGGAUGGGUGCUCUUCUUCCUGCUUGAUUUUUCUGCCCGGCCCUGAUGACGGCGCGAAGCGCCUCGCAGUGCGUGGCGUCUCGAGACGCCAGUGCUCCCACCCACCCCCACUCUCUUUCUGUGUGUUUGUGUGCGUGUGUGUGUAGAGGGGGGAGAGACCAGCACCCCGCCCCUCCCUCUAUCCCCUUGCUCAACGCAGAACCACUACUGGUGGCGACGCAGUGUCACGCACCAACGACAUAGGGGAGGGGGGAGGUUCAGAGGGACGCGUCGCCACGGAGGUCGGCGGCUAGGCCCUGGGAUGGCGUGGUGUCGAAGUGGCCUGCGACACUGCACACAUCUGUGCCAUCCGCGUGAUGGGCAGAGUGUCACAGUGGCUCAGAUGUACCUCACACACCCCUCCCACCACCCACUGGGGGUGUCGGGAGCCUGAGCGCCACCCGGAGGGGGAGAUGCACCACAAGGGGUGGCGACCGGCAUGAUGAGCGAGCGGAUGUGGGGCGUUCUGUGACAGGGUCGGUGGGUCGAGUGGCGUUGGAGUUCGGUGUUGUGUGGCCACGCACACACCGCAGAAGCGAAACAACAGCAACGCUUCGCUGUGCUCUUAUCAGGCUUUGGAGGCACGCGUGCGCCCACGCAUCGGCCCAGCGAGUCGUCAGGGCGCUUCCGGCGGGCAGUGGGGAUACGCGUCUGCAGAGGCCGCGGAGAGGGCGGGAGCGCGCCGCUGAUGAGCAGAUCCUAACAAC
rnacentral:misc_RNA from 1 species